GGGCGCAAUGGCUCGAGCCCGGGAGGCGGCGGCGGCGGCCGGAGGCGGCGGCGCCUCCUCCUCCUCGCCCCGGCGCCGGCGGUGAUCGGAGCGAGCGGCCGCGGCCCCCGAUGAGACUGCUGGCGAACUGGCUGUGCCUGAGCCUGGCGUCCGUGUGGCUGGCGCGGAGGAUGUGGACGCUGCGGAGCCCGCUCACCCGCUCCCUGUACGUGAACAUGACGAGCGGCCCCGGCGGGCCGGUGGCGGCCGCGGGCGGCAGGAAGGAGAACCACCAGUGGUAUGUGUGCAACAGAGAGAAAUUGUGCGAAUCACUACAGGCUGUCUUUGUUCAGAGUUACCUUGAUCAAGGAACACAGAUCUUCUUAAACAACAGCAUUGAGAAAUCGGGCUGGCUAUUUAUCCAAUUAUAUCAUUCUUUUGUGUCAUCUGUUUUUAGCCUGUUUAUGUCUAGAACAUCUAUCAAUGGGUUGUUAGGAAGAGGCUCAAUGUUUGUGUUUUCACCAGAUCAAUUUCAGAGACUGCUUAAAAUUAAUCCGGACUGGAAAACCCAUAGACUUCUUGAUUUAGGUGCUGGAGAUGGAGAAGUCACAAAAAUCAUGAGCCCUCAUUUUGAAGAAAUCUACGCCACUGAGCUUUCUGAAACCAUGAUAUGGCAGCUUCAGAAAAAGAAAUACAGAGUACUCGGUAUAAAUGAAUGGCAGAAUACAGGGUUCCAAUAUGAUGUCAUCAGCUGCUUGAAUCUGUUGGACCGCUGUGAUCAGCCCCUG